rnacentral:tmRNA from 6 species
GGGGAUGCAAGGCAUAGACAGUCGGCCAUUUGUUAUUGAUGCAUACCGAGCAUGGGCGUAAUCUCGUAAAACUUCGCUCAAUAGCUUAAUUGCAAAAUUAGCUUCCAAAGUGAAAGCUUUGUCUCCAUACUUCGGUAUGAAUGACUUUGCUUUCGCUUCAGUUGGCGCUUAUACGUAAACUGAUGUCUCUCUUAUAGACUUCCGAUAUAUAAGGGCAGGCAUAAUAUUAUCGGGAUAAGGAAAUGCCCGUUCGAACAUUUUUCGAAAACUUAGAACUCGAUUAAAAAAUAUUUUGCGUAUUUCUUAAUUUUUUAAUUUAAACCAAAAAUACGCUAUGUAUGUAGAUUUCUUUACAAAAACCUUCUGCACGGGGAUUCGAUUUCCCCCAUCUCCACAA